rnacentral:rRNA from 1 species
AUUGAACGCUGGCGGCAUGCCUUACACAUGCAAGUCGAACGGUAACGGGCCUUCGGGUGCCGACGAGUGGCGAACGGGUGAGUAAUACAUCGGAACGUGCCCGAUCGUGGGGGAUAACGAGGCGAAAGCUUUGCUAAUACCGCAUACGAUCUACGCAUGAAAGCAGGGGACCGCAAUGCCUUGCUCGGACGGAGCGGCCGAUGGCAGAUUAGGUAGUUGGUGGGAUAAAAGCUUACCAAGCCGACGACCUGUAGCUGGUCUGAGAGGAUGAUCAGCCACACUGGGACUGAGACACGGACCAGACUCCUACGGGAGGCAGCAGUGGGGUAUUUUGGGCAAUGGGCGCAAGCCUGAUCCAGCCAUGCCGCGUGCAGGAUGAAGGCGUUCGGGUUGUAAACUGCUUUUGUACGGAACGAAAAGCCUUCUUUUAAUACAGGAGGGUCAUGACGGUACCGUAAGAAUAAGCACCGGCUAACUACGUG